ensembl:lncRNA
GUGGUGGUAGUAGUAGUGGUAAUGUUGGUGAUGGUGGUAGUAGUGGUAAUGAUGACGGUGGUAGUAGUGCUAAUGAUGAUGGUGGUAGUGGUAGUAGUGGUAGUGGUAGUAGUGGUAAUGAUGAUGAUGGUGGUGGUAGUAGUGGCAAUGAUGGUGGUGGUGGUGGUAGUAGGGGUAAUGAUGAUGGUGGUGGUAGUAGUGGUAAUGAUGAUAAUGGUCGUGGUAGUAGUGGUAAUGAUGGUGGUGGUGGUGGUAGUAGUAGUGGUAAUGAUGGUGGUGGUGGUGGUAGUAGUGGUAAUGAUGAUGGUGGUAGUAGUAGUGGUAAUGAUGGUGGUGGUGGCAGUGGUAAUGAUGAUGAUGGUGGUAGUAGUGGUAAUGAUGAUGGUGGUGGUAGUAGUGGUAAUGAUGGUGGUGGUGGUAUUAGUGGUAAUAAUGAUGAUGGUGGUAGUAGUGGUAAUGAUGGUGGUGGUAGUAGUAGUGGUAAUGAUGAUGACGGUGGUAGUAGUGGUAAUGAUGGUGGUGGUGGUAGUGGUAAUGAUGACGGUGGUAGUAGUAGUGGUAAUGAUGAUGAUGGUGGUAGUAGUGGUAAUGAUGCUGUUGGUAGUAGUGGUAAUGAUGCUGUUGGUAGUAGUGGUAAUGAUGGUGGUGGUAGUAGUGGUAAUGAUGGCGGUGGUAGUAGUAGUGGUAAUGAUGGUGGUGGUGGUGGUAGUAGUGGGAAUGAUGAAGGGGGUGGUGCUGGUAGUAGUGGUAAUGAUGAUGAUGAUGGUGGUGGUAGUAGUGGUAAUGAUGGUGGUGGUGUUGGUAGUAGUGGCAAUGAUGAUGAUGGUGGUAGUAGUAGUGGUAAUGAUGAUGGUGGUGGUAGUAGUGGUAAUGAUGUUAAUGGUGGUGGUAGUAGUGGUAAUGAUGGUGGCGGUGGUGGUAGUAGUAGUGGUAAUGACGGUGGUGGUGAUGGUGGUGGUGGUGGUGGUAAUGAUGAUGAUGAUGGUGGUAGUAGUAGUGGUAAUAAUGGUGGUGGUGGUAGUAGUGGUAAUGAUGGUGGUGGUGGUGGUGGUAGUACUGGUAAUGAUGAUGGUGGUAGUAGUGGUAAUGAUGACGGUGGUAGUAGUGCUAAUGAUGAUGGUGGUAGUGGUAGUAGUGGUAGUGGUAGUAGUGGUAAUGAUGAUGAUGGUGGUGGUAGUAGUGGUAAUGAUGGUGGUGGUGGUAGUACUGGUAAUGAUGAUGGUGGUAGUAGUGGUAAUGAUGACGGUGGUAGUAGUGCUAAUGAUGAUGGCGGUAGUGGUAGUAGUGGUGGUAGUAGUAGUGGUAAUGAUGGUGGUGGUGGUGGUAGUAGUGGUAAUGAUGAUGGUGGUAGUAGUAGUGGUAAUGUUGGUGGUGGUGGCAGUGGUAAUGAUGAUGAUGGUGGUAGUAGUGGUAAUGAUGGUGGUGGUGGUACUAGUGGUAAUGAUGAUGGUGGUGGUAGUAGUGGUAAUGAUGAUGGUGGUGGUAGUAGUGGUAAUGAUGGUGGUGGUAGUAGUAGUGGUAAUGAUGAUGACGGUGGUAGUAGUGGUAAUGAUGGUGGUGGUGGUAGUGGUAAUGAUGACGGUGGUAGUAGUAGUGGUAAUGAUGAUGAUGGUGGUAGUAGUGGUAAUGAUGCUGUUGGUAGUAGUGGUAAUGAUGCUGUUGGUAGUAGUGGUAAUGAUGGUGGUGGUAGUAGUGGUAAUGAUGGCGGUGGUAGUAGUAGUGGUAAUGAUGGUGGUGGUGGUGGUAGUAGUGGGAAUGAUGAAGGGGGUGGUGGUGGUAGUAGUGGUAAUGAUGAUGAUGAUGGUGGUGGUAGUAGUGGUAAUGAUGGUGGUGGUGGUGGUAGUAGUGGCAAUGAUGAUGAUGGUGGUAGUAGUAGUGGUAAUGAUGAUGGUGGUGGUAGUAGUGGUAAUGAUGUUAAUGGUGGUGGUAGUAGUGGUAAUGAUGGUGGCGGUGGUGGUAGUAGUAGUGGUAAUGACGGUGGUGGUGAUGGUGGUGGUGGUAAUGAUGAUGAUGAUGGUGGUAGUAGUAGUGGUAAUAAUGGUGGUGGUGGUAGUAGUGGUAAUGAUGAUAAUGUUGGUGGUAGUAGUGGUAAUGAUGGUGGUGGUGGUGGUAGUAGUAGUGGUACUGAUGGCGGUGGUGGUGGUAGUAGUAGUGGUAAUGAUGGUGAUGGUGGUGGUAGUAGUGGAAAUGAUGAUGGUGGUGGUAGUAGUAGUGGUAAUGAUGAUGAUGGUGGUAGUAGUAGUGGUAAUGAUGAUGAUGGUAGUAGAAGUGGUAAUGAUGAUGAUGGUGGUAGUAGUGGUAAUGAUGAGGGUGGUAGUAGUGGUAAUGAUGAUGGUGGUAGUAGUGG